ACCUUUGGCUCUGUGCUCGCAGAUAGCAGACCAGGGCUUAUCCAGCUUCUGGUGCCUGAGGACUUCCGCCUUUGUGCCCUGGUCCACAGCCCCUGAAUUCCCAGGACAGAAUUCCCGGCCUCCAAGUGGAUAGAAAACGAGAAGCUAUUAGGAUAAAACCGAGAACAAACAACCCCCCACCCCCAAACAAAAUCCUGCCCAGCAGGCUUACACUACCAUCAAGAAAAGUAGAUCCAGGGAAGACCAUGGAAAAUCUCAAGGGGUGCGGAGUGUCUGUUACAGAAGAGAUGGCCUCAGAGGAAUACUGACGGCAGAGGCAAAAGUUAAAGUGAAGUCGCUCAGUCGUGUCUGACUGUUUGCGAACCCACGGACUGUAGCCCACCAGGCUCCUCCAUCCAUGAGAAUCUCCAGGCAGGAAUACUGGAGUGGGUUGCCAUUUCCUUCUCCAGGGGAUCUUCCCGACCCCAGGAUCAAACCCGGGUAUCCUGCCUUGUAGGCAGAUGCUUUACCAUCUGAGCUACCAGGGAAGCCCAAAAGUUAAAUUACAGAAUAGCAAAGUGAGGCGCUAAUGGCAUCCUCUUCUUUUAUGUUAACCUUGCCAGAUGAGGCAUCUACAGACACUUCUUGCUCGGCAAGCCCCCUUCCUCACAAUGUACUGAGUGUGCAUUCUAAAAUCAGUCACUUUUUUUGCAGGGUCAAGUCCAGUGACCCAUCCUCAGUCCUUCAGCCCUUUGAUGUCCUUGCAGCAUCCUGACUGCAGGCCUUCUGUCUGUCUCUUUACUGACCCUUCUUGUCCUCUGAGGACAGUAACUGGAUUCUUCUAGCUCUUUAUUUCCCCUUAUCCCAUGGGUACUGCCUUCUGACUUCAACCCACAGGGGUCCAGAAUUUGUAGGGCCUGAAGCUUGGAUAUACAACUCCCCAGGGAGCUUUUAAAAGAAGAACAGUUAAGACUUACAAACGCAACCCAGCUUGGUGUCCCAGGGAGUGUCUGGGGAAACUGAGAGGCAGGAGAGUGAGCUCUGAGCUUGGAUAAUUGAAACCUGGACUCCUGCACCCACUGCUUCAGCAGUCUCUCUGCCUCUCCUCCUGACUCUGCUGUCAGGCUUUCUCCAGUUAAGGCAGCGGGGCUGCUCCUCACUGCAGUGCGGAGGCUUCUCUUGUGGAGCACAGACUCCUGAACCCAGGCUCAGUAGUUGCGGUGCCCUGGCUCAGCUGCUCCUUGACAUGUGGAAUCUUCCUGGAUCAGGGAUCAAACCCAUGUCCUCUGCAUUGGCAAGCAGAUUCCCAACCACUGGACUGCCAGGGAAAUCUGAAAAUGCACCACUCUGGAGAAAGUGAAGAGGGUGAGCUUUUUGUUGCAAACACCGUUAUUCAGGUUUUGACUGGCCUUGGCACAAAGACAAUCCCUGCCGAAACACCCAGUGUCAGUUUCCUCACAGUUCCAUCCUUCUGUGGGCUGACCAGGCUAAAACUGGCAGGGGGAGCAUGGCAUGAAAUCCAGGACUUCUCAUCUUCACUCCUAUUAAAUAGCUUGCCGGCUCCCUCCUGAAGAAAGAGGCUUCUAUGUUUAAUCUAACUCACAGAGGGAGUGGUAUUACAUGUUCAGGCAUUUGUAAAGUGGACGAAAAAAUUUCCCCUCACAUUCUAAGUUCCUUUUAUGUAGCGUUCUUGUGCAUAUGAUCACCUUGUGUAAAUUGUAUAUUAAGUCAUAAAAAAGACUAAAAUGUACCUAUACAAAAUAUUUUCCUAUUGGUGAUGAUGUUUCAGGACUAGGCUAGAGAACAGGGCAAAUGACUUUAAUUUUUCUUGAAAUGUCGCUGGUUUUCUAAGUAAAACCCUAGAUUCACUGCCUACUACAUCCUUUUGUUGAGGAUGCAGGUGAAGGAAUUUCUGAAUUUUAGAGUUUCGAGCUGUUGUUUCCUGUGGGAUGAUGAAUGAGCAGUGUUGCUCCCAGGCUCUGGUUUACGAUGGGGGAGGGGAUGCUCAGCAAGCACACAGUGACACACAGGACUUGACUUUACACUGUACAAGGGGAUUUUUAAAAUUUUGAAAUGGCUUCACACACACACACACAAAGGGAGUUUCUCUUCCCAGGAAAAUUGAAUACCCUUUCACUCUGGAUUUGUAUUUAUUUCAAAUUUGGGGUCACAAAGACAGGUCCCACUUGCAAUUUUAAGGGGAGGAUAAAUAAGGAAAAGCAGAGAAAAUGCUAGUUGUUCACACAAUUUGUUCUGCUCUCCAUAUUCCUUAUUAUCAAAGAUUUGAACGUACUUCCUAGCUUCACAGUCUUCCCUUUACAUGCAGGCCCUCGUCACAGUUGAUCUCAAUAAUGAGACUAAUUUCCAAGGGCCCUAUUUACCUGCUGUGCAGAGUCAGGCUAAACCUUGUCUCCUGGAGGGGAGGGCAAAAGGAAGGAAUUCUAGCCAGCAGCUCUACCGCACAGGAACUCAUAAAAAAGGGGGGCCCCUUGUGAUCCCAUGCUCACGGUACAGAGUCUACAAGGGUCACUUGAUGUUCAAAGACCUUUGUCCUAUGUGACAGGCAGGACUGAGGCACCAUAAAGAAAUCAGAGAGGCUGAUUCAGGAGACUGGAGCAGGCCUAACGGGAGAAGGGGCAGUCACAGAGAUGAUGACUCACCCCCAAAUCCUUAUUAGCAUUAGACUGUUAACAGUCACAUGUGAUUCUACUUGGGCUAAAACUCUGGAGUAAAACUACCAAUGACAUUUUUUGUAUGAGUGUCUUUCCUGUCAAAGUAAGCUGAUUUCUUCUACAUUAGACUGCAAUCAUCAAUAUCACAAUAAAGGACUUUUACCAGAAUUGUUUUCAAAUUCCGGAAGAUUAUUUUUGCGGAUUCUAGGGCUUUCCUGGGAAACCCUGAAACAGACAUGCACCCUAGUCCCUGUGUAUCUAGUUAUAAUCCACACAUUUGAGCAGCUAGGGAACUAGUUAUCAAUUUCUUUUCCCUCUCAAAAAUGGGAGUACUGAAAAAAAAAAAAAAAAACGGGAGCAUUCAAGUUGACUUCCAGAUGGAAAGUCAGUCAUAUAUUCUGACCAACAAGGCUGCCCUGAUGACCUAGAAGCCAUAGGCUAGUUC
ensembl:lncRNA